AUGCUCACGUCAACGGCACAUUGACUGAAAUAGGAACCAUACAGCGAAGAGUAGCAUGGCGCCCUUACAAGGAGCGCAUGCAAAGUUGUGAAGUGUUCCAUGUUUUU